rnacentral:piRNA from 1 species
UAGGUGAGGGAUUGCUUUUAGGACCAUGGU